GUCUGCGGCCAUGCCACCCUGAACAAGCAGAUCCCGUCCAAUCUCGCAAGCUAAGCAGGGUCGGGCCUGGUUAGUACUUGGAUGGGAGACCACCUAGGAAGACCAGAUGCUGUAGGCA
rnacentral:rRNA from 1 species